UGAAAACCGUGAUGAAAACACAAUAUUCACUGCAGGACAAGUCGUCAUUUACCUGAAGCAGAAUUACUGCCUGAGAAUUGAAUCCUGCAGAAGAACAAUGACUGGCGUAGCAAGAACAGCAACAUGAGGCAGGACAAUAUCAUUCUGCAGACCCACGAAAGAAAGUAACCAGGAAGCAACGUAUGUGUAAUGCCUUAAAAGACUAUGUUGCUGUACCAGCGCAAAAUAAAACCCCAUCUGUGCAACUUCUGAGACAGGACAUCAUUUUGAUGGAUAUAUUGGCUAGCAACAUCACAGCUAUUGGAACAUCACAAAAAUGACCAACAACAGUGGUCAUCACUGUGACUGAUAAAUUGGCAAGGAACACCAUGGCCAUCAGAAUAUCAUAUGAAUUACCAAUUACAGCGGCCAUCACUGUGACUUAUAAAUUGGCAAGGAAUAACACCACCACUGAAACAUAAAAAUGACCAACAGCAGCCAUUAAUGUGGCUGAUAAUUUGGAGAGGAA